UCAACAUGACUAUAAUAUCUGCUGUAGCCU
rnacentral:piRNA from 1 species